rnacentral:rRNA from 1 species
AUAAGCGCUGGAAACGGCGUCUAAUACUGGAUAUGUGACGUGACCGCAUGGUCUGCGUUUGGAAAGAUUUUUCGGUUGGUGAUGGGCUCGCGGCCUAUCAGCUUGUUGGUGAGGUAAUGGCUCACCAAGGCGUCGACGGGUAGCCGGCCUGAGAGGGUGACCGGCCACACUGGGACUGAGACACGGCCCAGACUCAUACGGGAGGCAGCAGUGGGGAAUAUUGCACAAUGGGCGAAAGCCUGAUGCAGCAACGCCGCGUGAGGGAUGACGGCCUUCGGGUUGUAAACCUCUUUUAGCAGGGAAGAAGCGAAAGUGACGGUACCUGCAGAAAAAGCGCCGGCUAACUACGUGCCAGCAGCCGCGGUAAUACGUAGGGCGCAAGCGUUAUCCGGAAUUAUUGGGCGUAAAGAGCUCGUAGGCGGUUUGUCGCGUCUGCUGUGAAAUCCCGAGGCUCAACCUCGGGCCUGCAGUGGGUACGGGGCAGACUAGAGUGCGGUAGGGGAGAUUGGAAUUCCUGGUGUAGCGGUGGAAUGCGCAGAUAUCAGGAGGAACACCGAUGGCGAAGGCAGAUCUCUGGGCCGUAACUGACGCUGAGGAGCGAAAGGGUGGGGAGCAAACAGGCUUAGAUACCCUGGUAGUCCACCCCGUAAACGUUGGGAACUAGUUGUGGGGUCCAUUYCACGGAUUCCGUGACGCAGCUAACGCAUUAAGUUCCCCGCCUGGGGAGUACGGGCCGCAAGGCUAAAACUCAAAGGAAUUGACGGRGACCCGCACAAGCGGCGGAGCAUGCGGAUUAAUUCGAUGCAACGCGAAGAACCUUACCAAGGCUUGACAUAUACGAGAACGGGCCAGAAAUGGUCAACUCUUUGGACACUCGUAAACAGGUGGUGCAUGGUUGUCGUCAGCUCGUGUCGUGAGAUGUUGGGUUAAGUCCCGCAACGAGCGCAACCCUCGUUCUAUGUUGCCAGCACGUAAUGGUGGGAACUCAUGGGAUACUGCCGGGGUCAACUCGGAGGAAGGUGGGGAUGACGUCAAAUCAUCAUGCCCCUUAUGUCUUGGGCUUCACGCAUGCUACAAUGGCCGGUACAAAGGGCUGCAAUACCGUGAGGUGGAGCGAAUCCCAAAAAGCCGGUCCCAGUUCGGAUUGAGGUCUGCAACUCGACCUCAUGAAGUCGGAGUCGCUAGUAAUCGCAGAUCAGCAACGCUGCGGUGAAUACGUUC